GGGGGUGACUUGGAUUCGACGCUGAUUACGAACCCUUAGGUGCAUGUCGUGAGUGUAGUGAAUCACGUUAAUCCCUUACUACAAAGUUAUAGUUGCAAACGACGAUAACUACG
rnacentral:tmRNA from 1 species